rnacentral:lncRNA from 1 species
UGUGAGGUGGAAGAGGGCUCCGAAUGGGUCUCAGCAGCAGCCGCUCCCCGCGGAGAGAGCAUAGGUAGGUAGGCGGUCCCCGUCCACAUCCUGGGAGAGAGAACUAAGGCGCCAAGAAAAGUCCCGUCCCAAAAGCGAGAUCUGAGAAGGAGCCGCUCUCGUUCCCCCCACAGAAGACGUUCCAGGUCUCCAAGGCGACAUAGAUCCACAUCUCCCUCCCCUUCUCGACUGAAAGAAAGAAGAGACGAAGAGAAGAAAGAAACAAAAGAAAUAAAGAGCAAAGAACGUCAGAUUACUGAGGAAGACUUAGAGGGCAAAACAGAGGAAGAAAUAGAAAUGAUGAAGUUAAUGGGAUUUGCCUCCUUUGACUCUACAAAAGCACUACAGGAAUCGAAAAGGUGGAUUUAACAGACUUUGGAUUUCAUUGCAUGAGAAUUGGAAUGCUGAAGAAUGAUGUUUUCCCCUCAUCUUGAUCAGAGCUGUGGAUUUUGUAUUUUGUAUUUAAUGUUCAUCAAAAACAGGAUCACAGUCCUUCCUCCUUGUAAAGAAAUACCGUUUGGGGCAGUCAUCAACCGCAUUUUUUUGUCCUUAUACCUAUGGAAGCUGUAUAUGGUCUCUUCUUGGAUGCUCCUUAGGACUUUUUAAAACUCAUGAAAGUAAUUUGGAAGUAAGUUUCUCAAAUUAAGCAAUAUUUCUAAAAAAAAAUAAAAUAAAAUAUUUGCAAUUAGUAAAAAAUUUU